rnacentral:rRNA from 1 species
GAUGAACGCUGGCGGCGUGCUUAACACAUGCAAGUCGAACGGAAAGGCCGAAGCUUGCUUCGGUACUCGAGUGGCGAACGGGUGAGUAACACGUGGGUGAUCUGCCCUGUACUUCGGGAUAAGCUUGGGAAACUGGGUCUAAUACCGGAUAUGACGAUCUCUUGGAUGGGGUUGUGGAAAGCUUUUGCGGUAUGGGAUGAGCUCGCGGCCUAUCAGCUUGUUGGUGGGGUGAUGGCCUACCAAGGCGUCGACGGGUAGCCGGCCUGAGAGGGUGUACGGCCACAUUUGGACUGGGAUACGGCCCAGACUCCUACGGGGGGCAGUAGUGGGGAAUAUUGCACAAUGGGCGCAAGCCUGAUGCAGCGACGCCGCGUGGGGGAUGACGGCCUUCGGGUUGUAAACUCCUUUCGCAAUCGACGAAGCCUUUUGGUGACGGUAGGUUGAGAAGAAGCACCGGCUAACUACGUG